rnacentral:rRNA from 1 species
UGUUGUUUCAAAAAUUUUUUUAAUAAUAUAAUAGUAAAUUAUAUGUUAUCCGUUUCUUAUAUUUCUGGUUAUUAAGGACAUAAUUAAAUUAUACAUUUUUUUUAUAGGUUAAUAAUUUAUUUAAGAUGUUAUUUUAUUAAGGAUAAGCUUAAUAUUUCUUUACAAUUUUUGUAUGUUGUAUAUAUAUUAUCUUUAAAAUUUUGUAUUAAGUUUUUAAUAAAUUUAUGUAUUGUUUUUAUAUGAUUUUUUUAUGUUUAAAUUCUUACUUAAUUUUUUUAUAUAAUUUAAUUAUAAUUAAAUAAUGAAUUAAUAAGUAUAAUUUAGAACUAAAAUUUUAAUGAAUUCGACAAAUUAAAAUUCCAACUGUUUAUCAAAAACAUUUCUUUUUGGUUAUUUAAAAGGUAUUUUCUGCCCUAUGGUUAUAAUUUCUAAAUGGCUGCAGUAUAUUGACUGUGCAAAGGUAGCAUAGUAAUUAGUUUCUUAAUUAGAAGCUUGAAUGAAUGGAUAUAUGAGAAUAUUAUUUUAUUAGGUUUAACAUUAAAAAUUAAAUUUUAAGUAAAAAUGCUUAAUGAAUUUCUUGGGACGAUAAGACCCUAUAGAACUUUAUUUUUUAAUUAUAAUUUAAUUAUUUUUUUAGGUUAAUUAUUUUUUUAUUUUUUUGCUGGGGUGGUAGUUAAAUAUUGACUUUAAUUUUUUAUUUCAUUAAUAGAU